rfam:Shewanella loihica PV-4, complete genome.
CCGCCUGCGCCGGGAGUAUGGUGUCGAGAUCGCCAAGGCGAUAACUCGGACUUAAUAGGGAAUUGGGGAAGGCCUCGCGCCGCUAGCCCAAACUGUGCCCGCAACUGUGAGUGUGUUGCCUAGUCGAACCCGACCUGGUCGCCACGAGUCAGGAUACCUGCCUACUCUCCAACUACUAU